UAUCCUUUUAGCUUAAUGGUAGAGCGCUGUUCUUCUAAAACAUGGAUUCGAGUUCGAGUCUCGAAAAGGGUAG
rnacentral:tRNA from 1 species